rnacentral:rRNA from 1 species
AACGAACGCUGGCGGCAUGCCUAACACAUGCAAGUCGAACGAGAUCUUCGGGUCUAGUGGCGCACGGGUGCGUAACGCGUGGGAAUCUGCCCUUUGGUUCGGAAUAACAGUUGGAAACGACUGCUGAUACCGGAUGAUGACGAAAGUCCAAAGAUUUAUCGUCAGAGGAUGAGCCCGCGGAGGAUUAGCUAGUUGGUGGGGUAAAGGCGCACAAAGGCGACGAUCCUUAGCUGGUCUGAGAGGAUGAUCAGCCACACUGGGACUGAGACAAGGCCCAGACUCCUACGGGAGGCAGCAGUGGGGAAUAUUGGACAAUGGGCGAAAGCCUGAUCCAGCAAUGCCGCGUGAGUGAUGAAGGCCUUAGGGUUGUAAAGCUCUUUUACCCGGGAUGAUAAUGACAGUACCGGGAGAAUAAGCUCCGGCUAACUCCGUGCCAGCCGCCGCGGUAA